CAAAAGCUCAAAUUUGAAAUCUGGCACCUUUGGUGUCCGAGUUGUAAUUUGAAGAAAGUAACUUUUGGAAUAAGCCUUGCAUAAGUUCCUUGGAACAGGACGUCAUAGAGGGUGAGAAUCCCGUAUAUGGUGGGGUAUUUAUUUCAAUGUAAAGUGCUUUCGAAGAGUCGAGUUGUUUGGGAAUGCAGCUCUAAGUGGGUGGUAAAUUCCAUCUAAAGCUAAAUAUUGGCGAGAGACCGAUAGCGAACAAGUACAGUGAUGGAAAGAUGAAAAGAACUUUGAAAAGAGAGUGAAAAAGUACGUGAAAUUGUUGAAAGGGAAGGGCUUGAAAUCAGACUUGGUAUUCAGUGAUCAGCAAUCUCUCGGGGUUGUGCACUUGCUGUUUACUGGGCCAGCAUCGGUUUUGACGGUGAGAUAAUAGCACUUGAAUGUGGCUCUCUUCGGGGAGUGUUUAUAGCUUGUGUUGAUAUCAUCAGUCGGGAUCGAGGACCGCGCAUUUUG
rnacentral:rRNA from 1 species